rnacentral:miRNA from 1 species
CGAGUGUGCGGGUCUGUGUCGGCUUGG